ACCUCUGUAAUCUGUUUCCUUCCUUCCACCUUGAGGACAAGGUGAAUCUUUGGGGAGGGGGUAUUGUCAUGCAACAAAAUAUGUCACCACCUGCUACGUUAACGUAUUCGAGAAAGAAGUGGAAGGGUAAACCGGUCUUUGCAAAAGAGGAUAAGUAAAAGAAGUCAACAGUGGAGUCAAGGGGCAGUUUGGGGAAGUUUGCAGCUGAGGAUGGAUAUAGUAGUGCUUUGGGAGAAUAGGGUGAUUAGGUUAUGAGAUAAUUGUAAUUGCUUUUCUUGUGGAGAGUGUUGGCCUCUCGAACGCCAUCUUUAUCCUUUUCAUUCUGUAGCUAUCAGAUCUGGACUGUUGUUUGUUUCGAUACUUGCUAGUUGAGUUUUAUCAGUUAAUUUCUUCUCAAGUAAUAGUAAAACCAUUACACUGUUUGGUUAUAAAAAAAGUUACUUUUCACUUGCAAAUUUUUUACUUGGGAAGUUGUUAUCAGUUUUGAUAAAUUUAUUAGUAAUUGAUAUUUUAUUAUAAAUAAAAACUAAAAAAUUAAUGAAGUACUAUUAGUCAGAUUUAACUGAAUUAAGUACACAUUUUCUACUUUUCAGAAUUCAACUUGAAAGUUACUUAUAAGCCACUUUUACUUAUUACACAAACAGCCACCAAUAAGCUGAUAUUAACAUAUAAGUCAUAAACUAUCUCAUAAAAAGUUGCAAACAAUGUUGGGCCUGUAGUAAUAUUGCAAACCAGGACAUACCUGCAUCUGCACAAGCAGCUCAGUUUUAAUACGCCUAGAUGCUUCACUCUCAUUGCCUUCACCACGUUGACCAACUAAAGAGUCUAUUUCAUCAAUGAAAAUAAUUGACGGAGCACUAUCACGAGCCAUCUGAAAAAGAUUUGAAACAAGCUUUUCACUUUCCCCCAUCCAUUUUGAAACAAGAUCUGAUGAAGAAAUGCUGUACGCAACCAUAAACAAAAGCUGUCAGUCACUUCUGCUAGUUCGGUAUAUUUGCAUACGUUUGAAAGGCAAAAACACAUUCUAUGUUUAAAAGGCAAACACAUCUGCAUACAUAAAUCGAGAAAUGAUAUGUAGACCUGAUGCAAGAAAAAAUAAAUCAUUGUCCUCAACAUGCAAACUAGAAGGGAAUGUGCAAGUUGAUUGAUGUAUUAUUUAACAACAAUAAUAGGUAUACAUGUAAUACAUUAUUAGAAACUCAUGCCAGCACCCUUUAUACAUUUAAAGUUCAGAAAGCAAGUAAUCAUGAUUGCUUCUACUUUUAUAGCACUUUCUAACUUCUAACGACCAAGUCAUCAUCCAUAUUGACAGAUAUUGUAUAUUUGUAUGCACGAACAUACGGGUUUCGGUUCAGGUUGACGGACUCAAAUAAAAAAUUUGACCCAAACCACACUAGCCGCGGGUAACCCGACCCGAAACAAUAAUUAAUUAAAAAUAUAUUUUUAAAUAAAAAAUUAAUAUUUUAAUCUUAAAAGUAAUUUACAUCAGAUUAAAAUAGUAUAUUUAUUAAUUUUAAAUAAUAAAUAAUACAUAUCUAAUAUAAAUCACAUAUUUUUUAUAAUAUUUAAAAUUUAAUCAUAUAUAUAUAAUUAUAUAUUUCGAGUUAGUUUUGGUGUAACCUAAAAAUGACCCAACUUUUUCGGGUCUAUUUGGGUCAACCCGAACCCGGGAAACUCCAAUUUAAAUUUGUACUUUGCAAAUAGAAUCGGGUCAGUUCUGAUUUUGCUUGCCCUAAUGUUGCCUAUGAUAAAAUACUUUGACGAAAACCUUAUGCGAAUAUCAAAUGCAUAAAUUGAUAAUGAAAAAUACAAGAAUAUAUAUCUAUUUCUAAAGAUGAAUAUAAACAUUAAUUACUACUGCUACUACUACUACUACUAUUAUUGUCAUUGUUAUUAUCAUCACUUAAGUAUCAACUGAAGUAAAAAAAAUCCACAACAAUAACAUCCAACAAGUACUUAUGCAAGCCUCUAGAAAGUAAAUAAUUUGCAUUAUAUAAACAAGUUUCACAUGGUUGAAUUUAAAUUUGUACUUCCUCGUAUAUUAUUUUAAAGACGUGUCAGUUUGAGCCAGAAUAUUAGGCGGUAAAGAAUGCGAUACCUAAAGAAGGUUGAAUCUGCUUCAGUGGCAACUGCUUUUGCUAGAUAUGACUUUCCUGUUCCAGGGGGACCAUAUAAGAGGAAAGCCCUCCAGGGUCGCCUUUUUCCUAAUAAAAUGUAGAAGACUAGCCAUUGUCAAUCUCAAGACUGAAGCAGAAAACAAACCACCCUGGAUACUAGCAAGUACAUACAUAUUACAUAAUCACAAUACAGAAAGACGUAAAUAGGAUAAGCAUAUGAAAUCAUAUGCUCCUNUCUUUCCCUGAAUUGUUUCAGUAUCAAGUGCUGCAGUAUAACUGGCCCAGAUUAAAACUUACUAGGUAGAAAGGUAUAGACAGAUGUUCAAAGCCUAGAAGACAAAAUAUUUGAUCAAUAAAGUCGGCUCGUUAAUAAUUUCAAAUACAUAAAGAUAACAUCACUUGGUACAAGAAUCUGAAACCGAACAGGAUAAUGAAAAAAAAAAAAAUCUAAAAAUACUCAUUCUUCCCUAAUUCCAGAUAAUCACUUCUGAUCGUGCACCAUAUAUGCAAUACUAAUCAUCCAACAAAUUUUUUUGUGAACUCCCAACAAAGGCUACUAGAUCAUAAUAUAUCAAUUUAGUUCUAAACAAUAAUGAGAAAUACCAAAAUAAUAAUUCUUUAAACGAUACAGGGAAUUGGGUGAAAGAUAGAUAUUGGCGCGGUUCCUGAGUGAUGGUGGCUCGUUGCUUUAAACAUUAAACUGGUUGGUCCAGGUUUUACAUUCAAAUAAGUGCAGCUAGCAAUGCAGGCUUUCAUAAAGAGGCAGACUAUAUUAAAUAUAAUAUAUAUAUAUAUAUAUAUAGGCUCAUGAUCAAAUAGAAACCACUUUUAAAAUAAAAACUAGAAACCAAUACAAGUUAGUGAUAUUCGCAGUACAAUUUAGUGAUAUUCUCUUUAGGAUUUAGUGAUUUGUGUUGCAAGAAUUAAUGAAAACUUGCAGAAACAGCCCAGAAUCUCCAUAUAUGUUCCAAAAACUGCUCAAAUCUCCAGAUUUGUUCACGUUUUCGAUUCAGAUGGUGGUGACGGUGGUGGAGAUGGUGGAGGUGAAGGUGGAGAUGGAGGAAGGAUGAUUGUAGCGAAGGUGUGGGCCCAGAAUCUCCAUAUAUNUAUUCUCUUCAGGAUUUAGUGAUCUGUGUUGCAAUUGGAGCGUUGCCGGAAUAGUGGCGGCUCCGCCGUGUUUUGAAGUUGCGCUAACAGCCCAGAAUCUCCAUAUAUGUUCCAAAAACUGCUCAAAUCUCCAGAUCUGUUCACGUUUUCGAUUCAGAUGGUGGUGACGGUGGUGGAGAUGGUGGAGGUGAAGGUGGAGAUGGAGGAAGGAUGAUUGUAGCGAAGGUGUGGGUGGCUUGAAGUAGGAGGUUGGAGCGUUGCCGGAAUAGUGGCGGCUCCGCCGUGUUUUGAAGUUGCGCCGAGGUGGAGAAAGAAGUAUGAACGGGGCUGAAGAAGGUUGAAACAUCGACUAAGAUGGGGUUGGUGAAGAUGGAGGUGGAGAUUGUGUUGUUAGAGAUAUAAUGGAGGUGGAGAUGGAGGGGGCGGGCGGCAUAGAGGUGGUGGUGGUUAUGGAGGAGGUGAGACGGAGUUGGUGGCAGUGGCGGAUGUGGAGGUGGGGUUGGUGAAGAUGGAGGUGGGGUUGGUGAAGAUGGAGGUGGAGAUGGGGUUGUUUAAGAAUUUAGUGGUAUUUACUUUAGGAUUUAGUGAUAUUUCAGCUAGGUUUUUAGUUUCUAGAAUAAAGAGAUAUAUAUAUAUAUAUAGAGAGAGAGAGAGAGAGAGAGAGAGUCAAGUUCUAUGGAGUACAAAAAAUAUUGGAGUAUUGGAGUACAAGAUUUGAUAAAAUAUAAUCUAGUCAUUUGAAUCUUAAUUUUUUUGGUUCAACAAUAAUUGUAAAGAUCCGAAAACCUGCAGAUUAUGUUCUACAACAUAAACAUUGUAAGCAAAAGAUAGAACAGUUACUUUUAUAAAUCGUAGGACAUUAUGUUCUGUAAUAUAACUUAUAAGCAGAACAACAAUCUUAAUACUUGUUAAAGUUGAAAGAUAUUAAUGAUUAAUUGAUAAUUAUGUUUAAUACUGCAUAUAAAUGAUAAAUUAUAUAUAAAUCUGGAUAAUCGGAGAUAUUAUUUAUGAUUAAACUAAAAAUUUAUGAUUUGUACUACAAUACUCCAAUGUUUUUUUGUACUCCAUAGAACUUAUAUAUAAUUUAUCAUUCUUAGCACAUUCUGUUCGAACCAACCACACAAAAUGUUAGUUAAGACAGUUACAGAAUAUUUAGAUGCUGAAAACAAAAUUAUAAUGUCAAUGUGAAACUUAACUAAUAAGAUAGAAGCAGAUGGUCCCCAAAGGUGAAUAAAACUUGUGACCAUCAACAAUUAUGCAAAUAGGCAAUCACUACAAGGUAAUACUUAUAGGACAUAAUGUUGGCAUAAACAAGUGGUUCAUUUUAUCUAUUAAGGUAAUACUAUUUCUCAAUGUUCCUUUUCCUUUCUUUCUUUACUUUUGAAUUUCUUCACUUUUGACUUUCUCCAUCAUUUGCAUUACAUGAAAAACACUAGACUGCUUAGCCUGUUUCGCUGCUUGGCUGUUAUCAAAUCCUAACCAACAAAAUCAUAAUUGCCCAGGGCAUUGCAUUCAACUAAUUCGAUAGGGUCGGCCAUCCUAACAAUUUGUUAUGAGCUAGCUAGACAUGGAUGUUUUUAAGGUAAGAUGUAAAGUGGCACCUUUAGGGGUUUAACUUUUUUCUUUCGAAGUCAACUUCACUUCUUUUAUUCUUGUUUUAUAACACAAGGCCAAUAUAUGCUCAAUGUUUAUAUGAAAAGUGGCAAUUCAUAACGGAAGUAUGUCUAAUUUACAUCACCAAUAACAAGAUCAAUAUUGGUUAGCAUAUAGUUGUUUGUGUGUGUGGGUGGGUGGGUGGUGUUUUGUAUGUUUUUGUGUUGUGUGCCUUCAAUUUAUGAGGUAAAUGCUUCAAUAUAUGUCACACUUCUAAUCCCCUGGGAGGGCAAGCACCACAAGCUUUUCACUAACCUGUGAAAAAUUGUGGAAAUUUGACCGGCAAAAUGACAGCCUCCUGCAAUGCCUGCUUGGCACUCUCGAGACCUGCAACGUCAUUCCACUUCACAUUUGGCUUCUCUCUAAUAAUUGCAGAAUUAAGCCCAGACCUAAGUUUAGCCUGCUCCGAAUCCUCCCCAUCUCCCCCUUCACCAUUCUUUGGUUUAGUCUUUGGUCGUGCUGCCACUGCAGCAUCUCCAUUCGACGACGGAGCAGCCCCUCCAUUAUCAAUAACCUCCCUAAUUUCCUCCGCCCUUCUUAAAUACUCAGUAAACUUCUGUGUAAUAGCUUCCUUCACUUUAGGAUUCUUUUCGUACUUCAAAUGAGUCCUAAAAUACUCCAAUCCAUUCAUAUAUAGUGAAAACGCCCUGGGAUAAUUUCCAGCCUCAUCUUGCUCAACUGCUUGCUUUAUAUAUACUAUCGCUUGCUCUUUGAAAUUGCUAUACAUCUCUACUCAAAUAAAACACAUAAAACACAACCAACACUAAUCCUUUAACUCGAUAUACCUCAGUUCACUGCAAUUCUUAUAUUCCAAACAAGCCUCAACACUCUCAGCACAAAAUCUCCGCUAUCAUCUUCAGAAUUGCGUUAUCCUGGACAAAAUUAAAAUCAUAAGAACAGUUCAUAUAUUUACAUCAAAUGAACAGAAUCUCCUGUAUUCUUUUGAUCAACCAAUAACAAAAUGACCAUAAAACGCUCAAAGUACACUAUCACCUGCUCUAUGAUAUCGCUAUACAUCUCAACCAAAUAAUAUCCACACAAUACACAGUCCAUACUAAUCUUCGAAAAAUCUGCUGAAAUUAAUAUGUAUACAUACAUAUUUAAACAAUCAAACCUAAAAAUUCUGAGCACAUGAGUCUGUUGUUAGGUCCUCGUUAACAAACCAGAACAAUAACUCCUAUAAUUAAUUAAUUAAUAAAAACAUCGGCGAAUUUCACAUACAAGCAGUAUAAGUUACUCGAAACUGACUCGAAAUCUAGCAUAGAUUAAUCGAAGAUCAAGUAAUAAGAGUAUACAAACUGAUCUCGAAUUUAGCAGUAAUAUAAAUCUCUGAUCAAAUCAAAUUAAUCAAAUUAAAUUAAUAAAAUAAACAGAACCUCAAUUGACAGCAGUUAUAAAAAACUCUGUUAAACAAAACAUCAAUUAAAAGCAGUGGAUUAUGAAAACAAUACCUUGAUAAAAGCGAUUAAGAGAGAUCGGAAGAGGAUGAAAAAGAAGAGAGGAGAUUGAUUGGAUGCUACGUAGGACAAGUAGAAGAAGAUUGGUUAUCAAGGCGGAAAAUAAAGGAGCUUUCGAUGUAGUUGCCUCAAUUUGCACCGCUUCUAUUCCUUCACCCCUUUGACUUGCGAUUCGUCUCGGUUCAUUUUUAUCAUUAGGUAUUUAUAUUUAAGGGUGUUGCUAAAUGCAAAUCAGUUUUGCUUAAUGCAAUUCGCACAAAUUACUCUCAUAACCUCUUAGUACAGUUAAUAUGUACUCCCUCCGUUUCAAAUUAGAUGUCCACUUUAAAAAAUUCACACAGUUUAAGAAAAGUGGUUAUUCACAUAUUAAUUGCAUUAAAUGAUCAAAAUAUGUGGAGUGAGAUUGAUCUAGGAAAUAGGAAUAAGAGAUAUGUGGAGUAGAAUUGACUUUGGAAAUAUGAUUUUGCAUUGAAAGUUGAAGUGGACAAGUAAUUUGAAACAAAAAAAAUUCUUUAAAGUGGACAUGUAAAUUGAAACGGAGGGAGUAUUAAAUAUAGACUCUUAGUACAGUUAAUAUGUAUUAAAUAUAGAAUGUGAGUGUGAUGCAUUAAAGGCGCUUAGAUGAUUACGAGGAGCAUUGGCAUUUAGUGUUUUCCUAUGUUUAGGUUAUUAUUCAGAAGAAAUACUUUAAUUUAUUAAUAAUUUUAUCAUAUUCUACUUAUUAUAUAAAUUCACUAAAAUUGUCUUUGGUUAAAAUUUUAAAUUCAAUUCUUGAAUAUAUAUCAAAUUUUAAAUUGACAUCACACAAUUAGUAAUUAUUGAAAAAAUAUUUUAUUUUCGUCAAUGUUUUCAGUAUAAUUAAUAUAUCAUCGUGUUUAGUGAAAAUGUAUUUUUUUUAAAAUAAGUGAAAUCAAUUUAUCUUGAACUCCUUUUAUCGUAGUAUAUAUAUUGUUCUUAUUUUAUAAAAAAAUAAUAUUUUAAUUGUCUCUCGUAUAGAUUGUUUAUAUGUAUUUUAAGUCGAAUAAAAAAGACAGCGCCAUAAAUAAUUUUUUCAAUUUUAUUCCCUUAAAUAAUAAUUUGAAGUAAAAGUUAGUGGAGCAAUUAGUCUUUAUUUUAAAAUACAUGUUGAAAAAAGAAAAUGAUAACUAUAAACACAUGAGUUAAACAAAAAAAUAGAAAAUAUUAUAUACAAAUCAUGCUUUUGAUAUCUAGUUACUCGAUACUGAAUAAUUAUUAUUUUAUAUAAAUAAAUAAAUUUAAGCAAAUAUUACAAAGUGCUGAUGCAUGCUUAAAUUUUACUACUAAAUAUGAUAGUCAAAAAUUAUACUCUCCGGAUAUAUUAGUGUCUUGACUUUUUUACAUUCACUUUUAAAAGUUUUGACCGCAUAUUUAAAAUUAUAUAUUUUUUUAAAUUUUUUUAUGAAUAAAAAUAUUAAAAAUUGAAAAUGAUAAUUUCAUGUGUGCAGUCAAAACUCUUAAAAGUGUCAAGCCCCUAUUAAAUUUAACCCUAAGGAGUAUAUACUAAUUUUCAGCGUAGCAAGUAAAUAUAAUCACAAUAUGUCCUCUCAAAUAUAAAUAAACAUACAAAUAAAAUACUUAAUAAAACUUAUUUCUUAUAAUUUUUAUUUGUCAUUUUGAGUUUGAGCAUGUAAUUUCAGAUAUUCUAAAUGCAGGACACAAUUAGUUAGUUUGUAUUAACUUUUUGUGAUUAAAAUUUAGAUUAUAUAUUUUUAUUUAUAAAAGAAAAAUUAUAAUUAUAAUUUUGACUAUCCUUUCGAAAUACUUAAAAAUGUGGGUUUAAAAUCAAAAUUCUUUUAGAAAAUGUUAAAAAAAAAUUAAUCACAGAGUAAUAUAUUCAUGUUAUUUAAUCAUGAUAUGUUGGUUUACAUAUAAAAUUAAGAAACGGUUACACAUUGCACGAGUAAAUGAGUAAAUUCUAACCAGUGUUGAUGAGCUGUAAGACUCCAACAAACUAGACAUUCAAUGUGCACCUAAAACAACAAGAAGGACAGUAGAGUAAUUUCGGUGAAUUGCAUCAAGCAAAAUUGAUUUGCAUUUAGCAACCAUGAUAUUUAAUUUAUUGAGGUCGAAUCUUGAUUUAAUGUUUUAAGCGGAAUUAUUGUUUUAAUAAUUUAAUAAUUGAGUUGGGUUUCUUGGAUACCCACAUAAUUGGAGUCCCAAUCUAGACUAUUGGAUCGGCAACAUAAAGGACAAUUAAGAUUAAAAAUUGAGAAUAAUUACAAUAUUUAUUAAAAGACCGGGAAUUUUAAAAUGAUGUAAUGUACUAGAAAAUAGAUACGUAUAAUCAAUACAUUGAUUGAAUAUAAGGAGUAGUAUUGUCCUGCACUUCACUCGACCAAUUUGGACGGUUAUCAAUUAAAUUUAUCUUGGGGACGCUUUCAUUAAAGCAGCGAAGUGAAGAUAAAUUGGUUUCGUUGAAUUCAUGCGAGGAGUAGUGGUAAAAGUCUCGUCACCCACAUGUGUUUGCUUAUAUAUUGAUUUAUCUUGAUUUUGGUUUAGGGUUCCUCUUAAUUUAUUAUUUGCAGAAUAAUGGAAUAUCUGAGUUUGGGAGAUAAAAAUCGUAAAACAAUUUUGAAAUACGGUGAAGGACAAUUACGAGCACAGAACAAGAGAACAAAUCAAAGGUAGUCCAUGUUAAAAGUCUGGCUCCUUGUUGAAAACCGCCCUGCACAAACAUCGCUUGCAAGUGACUAACAGUUAUAAUGAUUUAUCCCAUAUAAACAUAUUUGGAUAAGUCUAUCAAUAUAUAGCCUUGCAUUUAAAAAAUGUUAAUUCAGCCGCGCCAUUAGAUUAGAAAGUGAUGGACGGUCCAAUACUACAAAUAUAAGUGGUCUCCAAAGAACUUAAACUUAAUUGAAUAAUUAUUUAUACGUGUUUAAAUUAAUAAAUCAUCUUAUUUUUUUGUCGCCGGUAAGUCCUAUGUUAUAGAGUAUAACUUCGAUUAUAGGGAUCAAUUUCUAGUCGCAUAGCUUCAUAAUAAUUCUGUAAAACUUGCGCAUAAUUUCCUUCAGAUUGAGCCGAUAUUCGUUACGGUCGUCAUUCGAUUCAAAAAAUCUCCGUUCCAGAGCCGUAUUCUAUAGUUCUAGUAAAUUUUAAUUGAAAUAUAAAAAUUUCGAUUUAUCAAUUUCCAUCAAAUUGAUUAAGAGAUUCAACGGACUGAAAUCGUUGACUAAUUCAUAUUUGAUUUUAAUAAUACAGUAUAGUUUAUAUAUAUUUACAACACGCUAUAUUUAAUUUUAAUAUGUUAUACAAUUUUAGGCUUUAGAUAAUAAAAAUUUUAAAUAUCUUGUGUUAAGAAUAUCAUUGAAAAAUCAAAUUAUAAUGAUCAACCAAUCUUUUAAUAUUUAUAUUUUUUUUAGUUAAGUGUCAUUUUAUAUUUCGAUUUCGACCCGACAAUAUAUUAAUAUAAAAUAUAUUACAAUCUCAUUAUGUUCUUUUGUUAUUGAUUAUUUUGAUAAUCAGUUAACAGAAAUUGUAUGCACUUCAAAUCAUAAUUUAGUAGACUUUUUAAAAUUUUAAAUAAUUUUAGACAAUAUAUCAGAAUUCAGAAACAUUUAUUUUCUUAAAUUUAUUAGGGUCCCAAAUCCCUCCUCUUAAAAUUAUCAUAGGCUAACACAUACAUGUACUUUAAAAUUUCAUUUUAUCAUUCGUAGUUUUACUGAAAAAGAACUUCUAAGCAAAAAUAAUUGUUUUUCACCUUAUAGAGGGAUUGAAGAUUGUGCAAAUAGAGGGGAUCUCUCAUAUAUAAUGAAGGACAUUUGUUCUGUAAAGGAGGAGUCCUGGUGGAGUCAUUUUUUUUUAUCUAUUUCAACCACUAGAUGGCAAGUCAGGAAUGUGGAAUCAGUAUUCUUCUGGGAAGACUCAUGGUGCAAGGAAUGGCCUCUAUCAAGGCUAUAUCCUAGGUUUUACAAUCUUGCUCAGAACAAGAAUUCUUCAGUCAAAGAGGUAAUUAGCAAUUGCACUUCUUUAAAUCUCUUUAAUUGGAGGAGACCUUUAAGGGAAUGGGAGCAAGAGCAAGCUGAAGAACUAUUAUCCUGCUUCAGUCAUAUCAAUUUGGGAAAUGGAUAUGAUGCUAUUAAGUGGCCCUAUAGAGAUCAAGCUUACUCCACAAGGUUGGGGUACAAACUCAUUAUGGGGCUAGAUGACUCCUUCACCAAUCAUUGGAGGAAGGUUUGGUGCCUUAGGAUACCACCAAAGAUCUCUCUAUUUCUUUGGAAAUAUCAGCAUGAUAUUCUCCCAAUUCAGAAGGUCUUAAAUAGCAGGGUUCCAUUGAAAUUUAGUCCCAAUUGUUCUUUGUGUGGCAUAGAGAGAGAAUCAAGAGAGCACUUAUUCUGGAAUUGUUAUCUAGUGAGAAAAGUCUGGAUAAUCUUCUAUGAUUGGUGGAGUUUGAAUAGGAAUGUUAUGAAUGGACAUGGUGAUCUCUUGUUACUCCUCAGAUGUCUCAAAGGAGUGGCACUCAGAGAGGCUUGGCACACCUCAGUAAUAGCAUUGCUAUGGACAAUCUGGCUAGCUAGAAAUGAGAGAAUUUUCUCCAAACAAGACUGGAAUGAGGAGAAAUUGACUUGGUUAAUAAAGACUAGAGCUUUUGAAUGGUUACUGGCAGCUGGAAAAAUGGCUAAAGGAUUAGAAUCUUUGUGGAAAGUCAACCCUAGAGGUUCUUGUCUUCUCUUUAACAAAAAACACAAAGGAGGGGAUUUUAUGUGGUGUAACGCAAAUUUUAUAGGGUAUUCAGAUGGCUCCUGGAAGCUCUUGCCAGAUAAUUGAGUUAGGUGUGGAGUAGGAGGUUGCAUAACAGACCUGGAAGACAAUUUAAUUUUUAUUUUUUCAGGUCCUGGAAAAGCUAAUAGUCCACUGGAGGCAGAAAGGGAAGCAUUAUUAUUUAUAUACACGCAGAUUAUUCAGUCGUCCCAGCUAGAUGGCAUCUUCACCUUAUGUACAGACUCAAAAAUUUUGGAGGAACAAUUUUUGAAAGCCAGAGCUGGGUACAGGGAGGAGGAAUCUCUAAAUAUCCUGUAAGAUUGGGAAAAUCUGGUGAAGGACAAAAGAUUUAAAAUUCAAUUUAUGUUUCGAGAUAAAUUAAUUGGUGCAGAUAGUCUACUAAGGAUGGAGGGAAAAGAAGUAAAAUAAUGCUGGCUUGGUGCUAAUAAACAUUGGAUAUUGGAACUAAUCUCUCUCAGUAAUAAUUACCUUGAGAAGCUAAGAAGCUGACUGUACAAUCCACUUCUCCCCAGCCCAAUAAGAUGAAGUCCAGAGGUGGCGUGGGGAGAGAUUUAAAAGAUCUUUGCAUUGAAACUCUACUCCCAGUACAUGCAUGCAUUGGCUGUAGCAGUAAUUAAAACCUAGGGCAGCCUAAGUGAACAUUACGCUGGGGAACUCAAAGGAUAAGAAUUUGGCUAUUUAACAGGCCAUUUGCUCCAGUUUUGGUUCACUUCUUCAUACACUCUUUUCUUCAGUUUCUCUUACUUUGUUUUCGUGUAAGCAUGCCUAAGUCCUGGGUUUUCCCCCUCAAGGGUUUUGUGAAGGUGAAUGUUCAUGCAUUCACCCUUUCAGAGCCCUACCCUAAUGGAAACGACUCGGGCAUGCAUUGUCAUCAGAGAUCGUAAGGGAACCAUUCUCAGAAUGUACUCAGGCACGAUCGGAAACUUGACCAAGAGGGCCAAUGAACUCUGGGCAAUGCUGGUGGGGCUCAAGGGAGCAUUUAUUGGGGACGAGCAUAUGGUGGAGCUGGAGACUGACAACCUCAAAGCCAUCAAGGAGUGGGAUGAGUGGAAGUGGUUUCAUGACCCUAAUCAUGAAAUUGUGAUUCAGCAGCUGAACCAGCGAAAGAGUGAUGCCAACCUCACUCUGAUAGUGCGUCCAGUGGAGGCCUCGUAGAAUGCCUUGGCAUGAUAUCUGGCAGAGAUUGGUCCGCUGCAGAGGUACCGUCUGGUUGUGAUUAAGAGGCUUUUUGGGGAGGUGAAGGAACUCUGGAGCCUGGACAUGAGGUUGGGAACUACCAAGGGUGAUUUUGAAGCCCAUUCUGAAGGUGAGGACUGGCUGUGGGCAAGUGAUGAGGAGGAUGUGCAGGGGGAGGGAGUGAUUGAAAUCACUGAUGAUGAAGACGAAGUGGAGGAUGCAUCUGGUUUGGUUGCUGGUGCUGAUCAUCCAGGCAUGGGUGACCGCAACUAGGCGUUGGUGACGGCAGAAGGAAACAAAAGCCCUUUCGUGUUCUUGCUUAGGGUUUAGAUUUCUUCUAGUUAUCUAGUUAAGUAUGUUAUUAAGUUAAGUUAAAUCUAGUUUAAGUUAAGUUCUGUGGUUAGGCUUCAUCCAGUUCAUACUAUUGGGUAUGUCCUAUGUUUAUUAUGAUUAUCAUCUUUUGUGGAAGGGGAGGCCUUUAGAGCAGGUUGGUGUAAGCUCUGAAGCCUAAUUUUGUCGUUAUUAUAUAUAAUAUUCUUGCGUUCCAAAAAAAAAUAAUAUGGAUUUGGCUAAUCAUUUGCGGGUGCGCAUAUAUUUUAUAUUAAUAAUUCUAGUACAUAUAAAUUAAAUUAUUUUGAAAUAGGCUUUUUAAUUUUUAAUAAUAAUACGACCAUACAGGUUUUAUCUAACUUAACAAGUGAUUUUCUCUCCAUGUAUUGUGGGAGUCUGGUUUUCUCUCCAUUUUCUUAAACCUUAAGAAUCUUUGUGAGAGUUUCUUUUGUAGUCUUCAUGGCAGAAAAUAUGAAUAUUGAUCAGCACAUGGCAAGCUUGAAUAUUGAUGAGGAAGAUAACGAAAGCUUUACUUUUGAUGAAGGGUUCGAGGAGGAUGUUAACAGAUUUGAUCUGUGUCUAGUAGGAAGAAUUUUAACGGAGAAAAACAUCAACACGCGUGCUAUGAAGUCCAAACUGGCAGAUGUAUGGAGACCAGCGAUGGGCAUUAGCAUCAAAGAUAUUGCUCCAGGUGUGUUCUUGUUUCAGUUUUUCCGAAAGGAGGAUUUGCAAUGGGUGUUAAAAGGAGGCCCGUGGUUGUUUGAUAAUGCAAUGGUGGCUCUGGAGACAGUGGAGAUCCUGCGAAGGUCAACACUUGGUUCCUGAAUAUUUGGAUUCAGCUCCAUAACCUUCCAAUGGGGUAUAUGAUGGAGACGGUGGGGAAACAGCUGGGGAAUUUUUUCGGACAGUUCCUUGAGUAUGAUGAAAAGAAUAACUCCAUUUGGAGGGAAUGCAUGAGAGUUCGGAUUAAACUAGACAUUCGUAAACCUAUCAAACGAAAGAAGAAGAUAACGAAGAAAGAUGGUUUGGAGUUCAUUGUUAUGUGCAAGUAUGAACGUCUAGGUGAGUUCUGCUUCACCUGUGGAAUGGUUACACACACGGAUAGAUUUUGCAGGAAAAAUAUAUCCAAUGAGGCAGGAGGCGAGAAGGAAUGGGGUCACUGGCUUCGAGCACCACCGCGUCGGGUGGCUGGUCAGGAACAGAGCAGAUGGAUCAGAGAGGAAGGGGAUGACACGUGGGAGGAUAGGAUUGGUGGAAACAGUAACUACCAGCAUGAUUUGGGGGGAAUAAUUUCAAAUCAAAAAGGGAAAGGGAUAAGGAAGGAGGGUGAUAGUAGGGAGUUGGUUGCUCAGAAGGGAAAGGUAGGAGGAAAUCAAUCAAACUUUUUAAGUCCAGCUACAAUUCAGGGAUAUAACACAACAUCCAAUAUGCUAUAUGACUUUAAUGCUGAAGAGAGUGUUGGGCUCCAAUUAGAAGAGCGUAAAAGAAGGAGAGGUGAUCUAGAUGUGGGCCUAAUAGGUCACGUAAGCUUUCAACAAGAGAGCAUGCAGAACAAACAACAUAACCAGGACUCUGUUAUUUCUGGAGGGGAUUUAGCAGGUCUUCAAAACAAUGUAUUGGCUGAGCUUGCACUGCAAGCCAGCCAGCCCCAAUGAUUCUCCUAGCUUGGAACUGUAGAGGUUUGGGCAAAUCUCUUACAGUUCGUACUCUCAAAGAGAUGUCAGCAUCUCACAAGCCCGACAUUUUGUUUUCAUCUGAAACUUUAGUAGAAGGUAAUAAAAUAGAGCUUCUAGCUCCAAAAUUAGGUUUCUGUAAUUUUUUCUCAGUAGACAGACAAGGUAGAGGAGGAGGGUUAGCAGUUUUCUGGAGACGUAAUGUGGUGUGUUCAGUGGUUGAUUCGUCUCAAAAUCAUAUUGAUAUUCAUGUGAAAGAACCAAAUAAUGGCGAUUGGCGGUUGACUUGUUUUUACGGCUUUCCUGAGCGUGAAAGGAGACAAGCUUCUUGGAAUUUUAUUCGAUCUCUAGCCUCAAGGUCCCAGCUGCCAUGGUGCAUCUUUGGGGACUUAAUGAUAUGCUGUAUAGCAAUGAUAAAAAAGGUAAACAUCCUCACCCGCAAUGCUUGCUAGCAGGUUUCAAAAAUGCAAUUGAGGACUGCUCUUUAGCCGAAAUUGAUCUUAAGGGGGGGAAAUUUACUUGGGAGAAAAGCAAAGGUACGGCAGAUUGGGUGAGAGAGAGGUUGGACAGAGCUUUUGCUACUGAUUCCUGGUGGCACUUGUUUCCGUUGUGUACGCUUACAGUGUUCCAUACUGUGGUUUCUGAUCACGAUCCUAUCAAAUUGGAGCUGGUUAACACUAUGGUGACAAAGAAGCAAUUUCGUUUUAAGUUUGAAAAUACUUGGCUUAAGGAGGAGAAUUUUAGUCAAGAUGUUGCAAAGUUUUGGCAAAACCUCCCAGCUUUUCAUCUUCUCCCAAAGCUUAUCUCGGUCUCAAAUUAUAUGGCAAGGUGGGGUCGUACUUUUUUUCACAAGUUCAGGGAUAAAGUUAUUAGGCAAAAGGAGAUAAUAGAUCAACUCAAAGAUAGAGAGGAUGAUGACGGUAUCCAAAUGUACUUUGAUGAGAAGGAGAAGUUUAGUGAGUUAUUGCUGCAUGAAGAACUCUACUGGAAACAACGAGCAAAAAAUUUUUGGCUUGAAGAGGGUGAUUCAAACACGAAAUUUUUCCAUGCUUCAGCCUCGAGUAGGAAAAAAUCUAACCUGGUUUCAGGCCUAAAAGCAGAUGAUGGCACACUGGUGACUAACCAUGAGCAGUUAUGUACUAUGUUGAAAAGCUACUAUAGUAAUGUGUUCUCUGCUCCUGAUGCAACUGUACAUUUAGAGACGCCUGAAUCAGAUAGUGAAGUGGUUAUCACAGUUGACCAAAAUGAGAUGUUAACAGCUGAAUUGGAGUUUGAGGAAUUCACAGAGGCGGUGAAGUGUAUGCAUCCGGAUAAAGCCAGUGGCCCGGAUGGGUUAAAUCCGGCCUUUUUCCAACAUUUCUGGCAACUGGUAGGCAGAGAAGUGUAUCAAAGUUGUAAAGAAUGGCUUCUAGAAUGCAAAUUCCCAGCGACAGUGAAUGAUACUACAUUGGUGUUAAUUCCAAAGAAAGAUCAUGUUGAAGAAAUUAAAGACCUUAGGCCUAUUGCAUUGUGUAACGUACUCUACAAGGUUGUGGCUAAAGUUUUAUCUAAUAGACUGAAGAAGAUUUUACCAGAUAUCAUCUCAGAGGAGCAAUCGGCUUUUGUGCCAGAAAGGAAUAUCACUGAUAAUGUCCUAGUUGCCUUUGAGCUGUUGCAUUAUAUGAAACGUAAGAAUGGCGGUUCAGAAGGGGAAGUAGCUCUUAAGCUUGACAUCUCCAAGGCUUAUGACAGAGUGCGUUGGGACUAUUUAAGUUACAGAAUGCAGAUAAUGGGAUUCUCAGGAAGAUGGAUUCGGUGGAUUAUGCUGUGUGUGCGGACAAUUUCCUACUCAAUAUCAUUUCAAGGCUCUACAGUAGGUCCAAUCAUUCCUGGACGAGGGCUUAGACAAGGGGAUCCACUGUCACCAUACCUCUUCUUGCUAUGUGUAGAAGGAUUAUCGUUGGCUUUAAAAUCAGCUACUAAUAGAGGUAAUAUUUCAGGAUGCUGCAUUAGCAACUCUGCUCCAGCAGUGACUCAUUUAUUGUUUGCGGACGACAGUUUUUUGUUUUUUUAAAGCUACAUCUUUUGAAUCGCAAGCUAUUAAAGAGGUGUUGAACUCUUAUGAAGCAGUCUCUGGGCAGGCAGUUAACUUUCAAAAGUCUGAUGUGUUCUUUAGUGCCAAUGUGCGGAGGGAUAAACAAUCGGAGAUAAAACAGGAGCUGGGAGUGUUUAAUGAUAUCGGUGAAAACAAAUACCUAGGUCUGCCUUCUUUAAUAGGUAGAUCUAAGAAACUGGUAUUUAAGUACUUGAAGGAUAGAGUUUUUCAAAGAAUACAAGGUUGGAGCUCUAAGCUUCUAUCUCGAGCAGGGAAAGCUGUUAUGAUACGGAAUGUCGCUCAGAUGAUACCAGCCUAUACCAUGUCAUGUUUUCUUAUUCCUAAAAGCUUGUGCCAAGAGAUUGAAAGACUGAUGAAUGCUUACUGGUGGAAGUCUAGUUCGAACACGAACAAACCAAUUCGCUGGUUAGCAUGGAACAAAAUGAGUAUGUCGAAGGCUAAGGGAGGGCUAGGCUUCAGAGAUCUACACGGUUUUAACUUGGCUCUAUUGGGCAAGCAGUGUUGGAACUUAAUUUCCAAACCAAAUGCUCUUGUAUCUCGAGUGCUGAAAGCCAGAUAUUAUCCAAACUGCCAUUUGCUUCAAGCUAGAAGAACAGGGGGAUCAAGCUAUACGUGGUCAGGCAUUUGGGAAGCAAAGGAAGAGCUAAAGACAGGGCUCAGGUGGGUUCUUGGAGACGGUCAAUCUAUUAAUGUUCUAUCUGACAGGUGGCUGAGAAACAAAACUAGUUUCUGUGUCGAUCAAAGCAACACCAGAAUAGAUGCGAGUACAAAAGUAUGUGAGUUCUUUAAUGAAGACAAUUAUGGAUGGGAUGAUGGGAAAGUAACAUCAUGCUUUAACCAAGUUGAUGCAGAGGCCAUAUUGACGACGCGUAUUCCUCGUAGUGGUACUGAAGACAGGAUUGCCUGGUGUCAUUCUAAGGAUGGCAAGUACACAGUGAAAACGGGUUAUCAACAGUGGCACAAAAAUCAUGUUGGUGAGCUAGAUUUACAGCAAUCCAAAGGAUGGAGCAACAUCUGGAGGCUAGAUGUCCAUCAUAAGAUCAAAAUAUUCCUGUGGAGGUUUUGUCGUAACAAUGUCCCAGUUAGAUAUCUACUUAGACACAGAGGAGUUCGAGUGCCGAUUGGAUGCAGCAUUUGUGGGGGAGAUAUAGAGCAUUUGGCACACUUGUUCUUCGGUUGUCGUUUUGCUCAAGAAUGCUGGAGUAUAGUGGGUCUAGACUACGAUAUCAGCGAGGUGGAAUAUGUAUCCGAAUGGCUGAUCAAUAAGUUGAGUAAUGACACGGCUGAGAAUCUGGGUAGAGUUGCUGCAGUGCUUUGGGGUGUGUGGUUUGCAAGAAACAAGCGCAUUUUUGAGAACAAGUUCAUAUCUCCAACAGUUACCAUGAAUUGGAGCAUGACCCAAAUAAAGGAGUGGCGUGAUGCAAACAAAAAGCGGAAAGCAUUUGGGUUGAAUCAGAGAGGAGGCAUGCAACAGCAAGAGCGGAAAUGGGUUAAACCAGAGCUGGGGUCUCGGAAAUUGAAUGUUGAUGCAGCUGUCAAAGAAGGGCAGAACUAUUUCUCGGUAGGUCUGGUUCUAAGAGAUGAUAGGGGGCAGUACAUUGCAGGGAAAACGAGACGGUUUGCAGGGACUGUUGAUGUAGCAGAGGCGGAAACAGUUGAUAUUCUAGAAGGCCUGCUUUGGGUUGAUGAUUUUCCUCCAGGUCCAAUCACCAUCGAAAGCGAUUCUCUUAUUAGUGUCAAUGCGAUCAGAAAAGGCUGCUUGAAUAUGCUGGAGCUUGGGCACCUGGUGCAACAAUGCAGAAGUAUAAUCAAUAGUAGAGAAGGUGCGUCGGUAGUUUUUGCUAGGAAGCAAGCAAACAAGGCAGCCCAUGUUUCGGCUAGAUAUCCUUGUGAGCUAAAUAGCUUCGUAAUUAACUGGUCUCCUCCAUCAUGUUUGUUGGGGACGCUCUUGUCGGAUGUUUUGAUGAUUUAAUGAUAUCGUUUGGUUUCAAAAAAAAUAAUAAUACGACCAUUUUUAUAUUAGUAUCUAGUUGGCUCCAAUUACAGAAUGAGUAAAAGUUUUCACUUCAAUAACAUUCAUAUUAUGUACAUGUGCAACAGCCAACAAGCAUAAUUUCGUGAACACUAAUUCACUAAACACAAAGUCACAAACAUGACCAAAUUUAUUAGCACUUGUCAACCUACAAAACAGAACAGUACCACUACUCCGGUAACACAAUGAUCAAGCAGCUCUCACACCAGAGAACUGCUUGCUGUAACAGCUUUUCGCAAAAGAACCAAACAAUGGUACUGCUUUCUCAUUGCUGCCGUGACCAUGACUGCCCUCAUUCUCUUCGUGAAUCGUAUCCAAUUUCUUCUCCAAGUUCAAAUUUCUCUUCUCUGCACGGAUCAACCGUGGUGGCGCUAUUUCAGUUGUUUGCAGAUUACUGGUAUUGAAGCUGCUGAGCCUUGACAUUUCUCCGAUAGCACGUCGAUGUUGCUUGAUUUUGUUGCUACUCGAUACAAAAUGACUGGUGAAUUUAUAGAGAUAUAUGUGAUUUAGAAUUGGUUGCUGAUAUUAUUUUGGUUAUAUUCCUGGCCAAUUAGUAGUGAAUCGGAUUCUCUUUUUUCUGACUCAGAAUCAACAAGUGCCAAUGUGUACGCUAUCUUGGAAUAUAUGAACAUUUACAAGUGGCUUGCCUCAAUUUUUUGUGGUUGCUUUAGCUUGUUGAUCACUGUAACUAUUAUAAUAUGGACACAAGUGGAACAUAUGCUGAUACUCAUAUAUAAAAUUUACUAUCACAACAACCUCUCGAGUGUCUAUCAUACUGUAAUUAGCAAGCAGGCAAUUAAGAUAAAGUUAAAUUAGUGAUUUUCUUUGUUUUGUUCUUACAAAUUGGUAUAAAUUUUCUUCACAGCUCUUUUGU
rnacentral:lncRNA from 1 species